rnacentral:misc_RNA from 1 species
CGCACAUUGCGCCCAUUAGUAUUCUAGUGGGCAUGCCUGUUCGAGCGUCAUUUCAACCCUUAAGCCUGGCUUAGUGUUGGGAAUCUACGGCCCGGUCUGAGUUACCCUGUAACCCUUACCUGUAGUUCCUAAAAAUCAACGGCGGAUCUAUGGUGUCCUCUGAGCGUAGUAAUAUUUAUCUCGCUUUUGUUAGGUGCUAUAGCCCUUGCCGCUAAACCCCUAUUUUCUAAUGGUUGACCUCGGAUCAGGUAGGAAUACCCGCUGAACUUAA